rnacentral:tRNA from 1 species
UUGUUGAUAUUUUGAUUGAGCAUGAACGGACUCAUAAUCCGUUGGUCGACAGUUCAAGUCUGUCUGGGCCCACCA